rnacentral:rRNA from 1 species
AGUGAACGCUGGCGGUAGGCCUAACACAUGCAAGUCGAACGGCAGCACAGUAAGAGCUUGCUCUUACGGGUGGCGAGUGGCGGACGGGUGAGGAAUACAUCGGAAUCUACUUUUUCGUGGGGGAUAACGUAGGGAAACUUACGCUAAUACCGCAUACGACCUACGGGUGAAAGCAGGGGAUCUUCGGACCUUGCGCGAUUGAAUGAGCCGAUGCAGGAUUAGCUAGUUGGCGGGGUAAAGGCCCACUAAGGCGACGAUCCGUAGCUGGUCUGAGAGGAUGAUCAGCCACACUAGAACUGAGACACGGUCCAGACUCCUACGGGAGGCAGAAGUGGGGAAUAUUGGACAAUGGGCGCAAGCCUGAUCCAGCCAUACCGCGUGAGUGAAGAAGGCUUUCGGGUUGUAAAGCCCUUUUGUUGGGAAAGAAAAGCAGCAGGUUAAUACCCCGCUGUUCUGACGGUACCCUAAGAAUAAGCACCGGCUAACUUCGUG